UCACAUUCCCUUGCAAGAUUGAGAAUGAGUCAAAAGAAAGGAGGAAGGAUAGCAAGACAAGUAAACCCAAUUAGAUGAAUUAAUACCAAAUUGGAUGAGACAAGACAAGACCCAAGGGACGAUACUAAAGUUCAAAGCUAUAACCCUAUAACACUAAUAAUUUUCUUAUAAAUUCUUUUAUGAAAACAUUGGCUUGUUUCUUAU
rnacentral:lncRNA from 1 species